AACAAUAUACCAAAUCCAGUAGUUCUUGGUCUUCCUCUUAGUCCACUACCUCUUGGCCUUCCUCUAACACUGGCUAUAAUAUCCUCAGAAGUUCUUGAUCUCAUACUUCCAGUAUCCUGAUGUAAGAUAAAUUAGCUUCUAGUACAGAUUAACUAAAAUACUUUCUUAACUAAAAUAAAUACUCACAGAUGCACUUGUAACAGCUGAUGGUUGAGUAUUUCUGGCCCUGGUAGUUGCAGAAUCACUUGUAGGACCUGAUUGUUGAGUUGUUGUUUCAG
rnacentral:lncRNA from 1 species